CUGGAAAUCGCACUCGUGCGUGUUUAUUCCAUGGAAAAUGCUGGAAUGGAGGUGACAUCUGGAUGAACUGAGGCGCGGCCGCGUGAUGCGACACGGGGGCGAUAUCGCCUUGCCACAGAUGCGUUGUGUCUCGUGCCUGAUGGCACACAGAAAGCCCCCCACCACGGCAUUGUGUUGUUGUUCCACGUCUUUUGUUCACAGACGUGGACCUGGGCCUAUGGCGCGUAGCUGAACAGAUACUAGCUGUCUCAGCAGAACAGGUAAAAACACGGAGUUCUGUGGGGUGGGCAGGCCGGCGAAACGGUAACCAUUAACGGGAGCGGAGGACGAGUCAGCGGAGGAAGACAUCCGGGAGCUACUGAUUGAUGGGAAUCAACCGUAACCGUGACCAACUGCUAAAAGGCUCUAAACUGAUGUAUGUUGAGAUAUGUGCUGCUGGACUCCAGGAUCGUCACAAGUGCCAUGCUGAGCAAGUCUGAGUUGUGGGGUGGAUGGAGGCGCAGGAGCGUUUUGGGACGGGCCGUGCUGCUGCUGCUGCUGCUGCUGUGUGAGAUCGUGGUUAGCCGCCUCUGCAGCUCCCUCAUCAACAUGGUAGAUGCCUUCCACACGCUCUUCCUCCUGCUGCACAUCUCCCUGCUCCACCCGGUUUUCAAGUGCCCCGUCCCGUCCCCUCCCCGGUCACCCUCACGCCGCUCCAAUCCCUCGAGUCCAGAACCAAGCUCCGCCCUCUUCCACGGCGACUCCGGCGGGAGGGCUCGGCUGCUGCCGUUCGGAAGGCUCGUCUCCGCCCUGCUGCUGGCCUCCCUGAGUGUGUCCGUCACCCUGGACAUCCUCAGUCACGUCCUGCAGCCGCACCCCAUGCAGCAUCCCCUCCUGGCCACGGUCGUGGGCGGCAUGAGCCUCCUGCUCAACGUCACCAUGCUGGCUGCGACCUGCGGCCGUCUUCAGGACAGAAAGCCUGAGUCGUUAGGGUCAGGAAGCAAAGGUUUGGCUCUGUGUUCGAUCCUGGCUCAGGUCUCGAGUUCAAAACCCUGAUAAAAAGCAGGACGACCUGGGACCACCGGUGUGUGUGAGAGCUACUUGCAUCCGUAUCUGAUGCAACGUGGAAUGCGGUGUGGGUGAAGUGGCCACACGUGAAAUUGAAAGUGAUAGUUUUUGUGGUACGCACUGCAGCAAAAUGUGUCCCCUGCAUUUAACCCAUCACCCUGCAAAAGGACCGUGUGCUGCAGUGAGUCACAAUGACAAUCGCUGUACUUUCACUUACCCACUAGGCCACCGCUGGCAAAUUCACAGUACAAACUACUGUGGGUAACAGUACUCAGUAUUUGGCAGACAUGCCAUGACUGUCAGAAUGUAACUGUUUAAAUGUUACAUGUAGCACCAGGUUCUAGAGGAACCUUGUUUCAUUUCACUACGUACUAGGGGUGUUGGAAAAUAUCCAUACAGCAAUAUAUUGCAAUCGUUUAUGUGGUGAUAUUGCUUCGAUACAGGGACAUCAAAUUUUUGUAAACAACUUUAGUCCACCGGGUGGUGCUGUUGAGCAUUUCCUUUAGUGAGGUCACUCGACUACAACCUCCGCUCCUGUAGAUGGCGCUGUACAGCUGGGUACUUUUUUUUUUUUUUUACUGCUUGGCAUUUACAUUUACAUUUACAGCAUUUACCAGACGCCCUUAUCCAGAGCGACUUACAGUCAGUAGUUACAGGGGACAGUCCCCCUGGAGCAAUUUAGGGGUAAGUGUCUUGCUCAGGUAGUAAGUGGGAUUUGAACCUGGGUCUUCUGGUUCAUAAGCGAGUGUGUUACCCACUAGGCUACUACCACCCAUUUCGGCAUUUCUUUUUUUACUGCCUUCAUGCUGAUAGAAGAACGAGGUCUCGCAAUAACACUUGACGCGCCUGGAAGCCUCUACUUUGCCGAGCCAAAGAAGCUUCCCUACAAUAAAAUUCAAAUUUCAUGCUAAUUUCA
rnacentral:lncRNA from 1 species